AACACGGCGGAUUAGCUCGGGAUUAUGUUGUCAGAGUUAGCCUUGACGGACAAACUGCAGAGGAAUAAAUUGCAAUCUGUUUGAGGAGCCCACUGCCACGCAAACAGGAGAGGCAUCGGCUCGCCUCGCAGCCUGUCCAAGAUGACAGCGAGAGGAGAAAAUCAUUAAUAAUUUAUAAACAAAGUCCACGGCCAUUAGCGACAUCUGCCCGCGCGGGCUGGUCGACGCGUCUGCUCGUCUGACCCCUAACGUCACGCGCCGCUUCGUGGUAAAACUUGGAACCAAGAGUGGCAGAGCGCGUACAGAGAUGAGGGAGGUUUUACCAGAGAGCUCAGAAAAUGGGCAGAAGCUGGCGUCCCUUUGUCUGAUAAGAGCCUGAGAAAGGAGCAGGCACCAACCUCCACAUGUGCAUUUUGACUGGUUUUCCUGAAGAAGCAACUCAUUUUGGUCGCGUGCCACUUUAGAAUGAGCCUUCACUGAAGCCAUGGAAAUGACUUGGGUAGUUUGAUUAGAGCCAGAGAGGCCAGUGAACAAAGCCCAGUCCAACCCACCCAUAGUGAUGCAUUCAUGGCAAAAAAGCUUGGAGGUGAUUCUGCAUCCGUGUUUUUAUUUCAUGCUUUUAGAUCACAGCUUUUAUAAAUCCAGGCUGAAGUGAGAUGCUGCAACUAGACGCUGGUACUUUACUGAUGUCCUUAAGGAUGCAGAACUGUGUUAAGGAUGCGUUAAUAUAAAUUAAUUUUUUUUAUUAUUUAAAAAAUAUAACAAUAAGUAAAAUAAAUAUAAAUAAUUACAUUUUUAAUUAUUAGAGUGUCUUUUUGAUGAGUAAAGGCCAAAGGUUUGGAGGAACAGGUUUCUUUUAUUUCAGGAGUGAAUUGGCCCAAUCUGUGUCCGUGCAGCAGCUCUGCUGUCGAGGACUGACUGGCAUGGUAAAAUGUAUUAAUGAGCUUUACUGCAUUCUGUCCUGUCCUUCAUCAUUAGGAAUGCAUGUCUGUAUGUUAAACAUAUGAAUAUGCAUCGCCAUAGAGCAUUUGCUCUCAGAGUUAGCAGCGAGCCAGCGCUGUGCCUUGAAUAAUAAUCCGCCGGAGAAACGAACAGAUUUUUCUUUGCCUUCGACUUGUAAUUGAAAAAGAUAAUAACGGCACUUUUUUUUUUUUUUUUUUACAAUUCACGAGCAAAACUAAUUCUGAAUGUUAAAAUCUGCUCUGACUGAGGGAAGUGUAUGCGGCGAUGUUUGCUUAUAUGAUAAAAAGAAAUUUUAUGUUUGCAUAUUUACAUAUUUUAAUCUACUUACACUUAGACUGUAUGUAAGUGUAAUAUCACUAUGUCUUAGAAAGAAAAUACAUGUACUGGUAUGUUAAUAAAAGCAAAUUAAACUGGUGAGCAAAUAUAUUUGUCACAUUUAUUUAAUUUCUGGCUCCUUCCCAGAACAGAUCUACUGCAGUGUUUCCAGUCGCACUGAGGGCGAGCCACAGGUCAGCAGGGGUCACUGGAUAAAGGUUAACAAAUUACCACAACGUCUCCCACUCACCUGAUUGAUGCUGAGUGGGGGAGGGCGUGUGUAUAACAGUUAGGUCAACAUGAGGUAAUGAAGGCUGUGGCCUAGAAAAUGCAACAAAAUCAAACACAAUCAGGGCAAAAUCGCUUCUCAGGAUCCUCUCAGACGGUUCUGUCACUGUUAGCUCACAAACAGCUCGCUCCCCUCAAGAACAGGCAUAAAGAGUGAAUGCAGGGAGGAACCAAAGCUUCUGAUUUACUGACAGGACAAUUAGACAGAGCAAAUCUGCUAUCGGGUCUAAAUACUCCAGAUAGCGGGUCCGCAGGCGUCUCACCCGGCCGGGCAUCAUGGGAGUGUUCAUGUUGACGGGUUUAUCUGGGCAAAGGCGCAGUCAUCAUGACCGGAGCUGCGAUAAACGUCAUUAAAGGAAGCGACAGGCACUUAAUGGCUUCAUUCCAAAGAGAACAGCAACAACCCAUGCGCGAGUUUAAAACCCCGAAACGAGAAGAGUUUCCAGAAUCUCAUAAAGCAUUUUGAAGGCUCGACGUACUCCUCGCUGGUCUCGAGUCCCCACUGCAAACAAAUAAAUCAGCUCCUCGCACACAACUGUUGACCCGCGGUGACUUCACUCGCAGGAAACGUGGAGUUUCUACUUUCUCUUUGAUUCCCAGACGGCGUUAUCUGCUAUCUGUCUGGGGGCGAGAGGCUGAACGGUAGCGUUGGACGCUUGAAUGUCUCUCUAAAUAAACUCCAUCGUCAUAUUAGGUUUUAAUGGGCAAACUUCAACCUCCGGGGCUGUGACCCCUUUGAAUGGAUUCAGUUAAAUACUCAAAUAUAGGACUGCUCUCAACAUUGCCUUCUGCCAAACACAUCCAGCUUUGUAGGAUAAAAGUAAUAACAGCACACAAUCAAAAAGCCUUAGAGGCAAAUAUUUUUGCCCUUCGCAUCGUGAACCAGACAUCUACACAGUAUGAUAAUUGUUGGAGCCUAUUUCUGCUGAAAACAUUAUUGGAAACAUUACGAACUGAAGCUUCAACACUGGGUCAAUUGACGUAGGUACAUGUCUGCUUCCUCCCACCUUCCUGUUCUCACAGGGGAGGUCCAGAAACCAGAGGAUGCCCACAGAUCACAGGGGAGAGGAGAGCACGCGAAGCACCAAAAAAACAACAGAUGUUAUCAAAUUGGAGGAAUGAGCAACAGAAUAACUCGGUUCAAUAUGUGCAUGACUCCCUCGUUUUUCUUUUCUAGCUGAAACUAAUGAAUUUUUGUGGGGAGAGGAAAUGCUUUGGGAAUAGGUAGAAAUUUCAUCAAACACCGGAUGUGUGCGCUUGAUUAGUAAUUCAGACCAAAGCUAACUUUGGUAAGACAAUAUUACAAGAGGGCUCAAGGAAAUGGCUAAUGAGCAGCUAAGCUAACGUUAUCUUGCUCCAGAGCAUACAGUCAUCUGAUUUUCUAGGCAUUGGAUCCUAAUUGGAUUGUGAGGAAGUGAAGAGGACAAAGAACAUUUAUCUUUUACAAUUAUCAGGAAUUCAUAUCCUGGGCAAAUUUGCCAGCUUGCAUUACUAUUCGAUUGGAUUAACUAUUGAUGAGCAGCAGAAACCAAUAUCAUUUCAAUCUUCCAGCCUCUAAUAGUCAAUGGAUUUUUCUGAUUUCAGAUGUUGGAGGAAGCUUAAAGGAAUCGCAUGUGAUUUCUGACCAUCUUUCGAGUCUUUUUAAUUCCGCAGCGGGUCUUUCUGUCUUUCACCACCUGUCGUUCAUUAGCCUUUGGUGACCGGCAAUGCAGCGGAGGCAAUGCAACGGAGGCUGCGUCCUGGUGAAGAGCCAGCAGAGCGUGAGGUCAGUCGUCUGCUUUUUACAGGCAACAGGGGUUCGAGGGAAGGUCACGAGACAAGGCUGGGUCAUUUUGUCUCGGGGUUCAUCAGUUCAGAUAAGGUAACAGGGUGAGAUGGCCACAGACAGAACCUGAGACUUCAUUACAUAAUGUCACAUGCGCUGACACCUUUCAGGAGAGCGUGGGGGGAAAGUUCUCUUUUCCAGCUGUUGUCGGGUUCAGUGGUUACACCAAUGUUUUGUCUUCCCUCGGAGUAAAAAAGCAACAGUUAUUACCAAGCUCAUGUCUGACGUCCACAGGUUACGGGGCCAAUUGAGGCCAGAUGGAUGAAAACGGCCCGCGUGAGGUGUGACGUGAGGAGACGUUAGGCCCAUAAAGCCAGGUGACGAUGGGGAUUCCAGCAGCCGGAGUCCGGCGGGUUCAUCGCGCGGCCUAUCGCGCGAUCGGCACACUGCCCUUCUGCUGACUCCCUCACAGGCUCUGCUACAAUAACACGCUUGCCUUUCAUUCUGGUGCAAACCUCAAGCCUCCCCCGUCCCAGAGCCCUCCUCCCUCCACCACGCUAACACCAACACGGGGAACGUGAGGCAGCCCUAGUGAGAUAAAAGCUGGAGAAUAUUUAUGUCGGCCUCCUUUACUCCUGUUAGUCUGGAUGUGAUUACCAAGAUAACCUUUAUUAUUAUUAUUAGUUUUAUUAUUAUUCUAUGCUUUCAUUAAAUUCUCCUCGGUGCUCAGAACAAUCAGCUGUUUCAGCCCCCUGAGCGCUAGUCAAGGUUAACAGUGCCAUCUACAGUAGAGAGGAAUACUCCGCCAUGCGCUUGGAUGGGCUGGAGAGUUCCAGUCCAAGGAGCCGGACAGCACCUCUCACUGAGGUCGGGCCGCACGCUCAGGCCCAGAGGAGAAUUCCCAAAAGCAGAUUCCAGAAGGAGAAUGGAAUCAAGAGCCCUGAUGAGAAUUCCACUAAUCAGCUGAGGAUUAACAGGGACUCAGACGACACUACAUCUAAUUCCCCCUUCACUGCCACUGGGGCAACAAGAGGCCCCACGCAGCACUGCAGCACCGAACGCGCGUCUGCUAAGAAUCGAGGCUGAAGGCGUCAGAGCUCCGCGCUCCGGCCUCUGCUGGCGCUUGUAUUUUCCUCCUGUUCUCCCGCUCUAAUCCUGCACGCCUGGAUAAGAACAUGAUGGUCAGCUUGUGUUUUUCAAAGUGACACCGGCAUCAGAAGCUCAUUCAUUUUAAUGCCGAGGCUCAUUUACUUGCCGGGUCAUGCUGGGCCACCCACAAAGCAAAACUACUUAUAGGAGAGCGUGUUGUUUCACACCCUGAGAGAUGAGAUACAUAUUUCCAUCAGUAGUUGAGCAUCUGGUAAAUAUUAAUGUCUUAUAGCAUGUCUUUGGCCCGAUGCUUAUUUAUGGUAAUAUAUUAGCGUGGGUAGGUUGUGUUUUUAGUCUUUGGCAGCACUCCCGUGCUAUCUCGCAGACAGGUUGGCUUCCCAGCCUCCCACAGUUUUGCAGUAAUGAAGGAGCUGUCUUACCCAAACAAACAGGCUCUCUGGAGAUGUACCUCGACUACCUCCUUAAUCCAGGAAGUCUCUCUUAUCUCCCCACAAAUGGCCACGUGGUGAGGCGCACCACGCUACAGCCUCAUUCAUCAGUGAAACCCCGGAGCAGGUACGACGCAGGAGGUGGAACGCGACGGUGGACGUUGGUUCUGUGCAGGAAGACGCUCUAUUUAAAUACGUUUAUUUAUUGUCAGACGUGUUCAUGAGCCGUCCAGUGUCGUGCGGCCACUUGUCCGAGUGGUAAAAAAAAGCCUUUCAGUAAAGAGGAGUCUUCUGUGGAGGAGUUGUGACACCCGGCGCCGCUUAUUAGCUUCUCCACUGAACGCACUCCCACACAGAGAGCACUGGACCAGGCAGCGCGUGGUGAAAUAAAGAUCAGGCGGCCGGCGACACAGUGUUCAAACGCAUCCGUGAAAUCACACUGUAAAAACAAUAAUGGACUGAAGAGAAUGAAAUCCUGCAACUUCCCAGACAAACAACCUGAGGCACAAGGUCUUACCUCAGUUUCAUUAUGAAGUGACAUGAUGCUACUUGCUGUGAGAAUAUCAGUAAUAAUAAUAUAAUAUAAAUAAAUAAAAUAGGGCAUUUAUGUUGUCAGUUUUCUCAUAAUUACAAUUAUUAAAUUCAAAGACUGUUUUCUAGAAUCUGAUUAUUUUCCUGUUAGAAUCCCUCUUACCUUGAACUUUGUUUUAUUGAUCAUUUAUAUUUUUUAUGUAUGUAUGUAUGUAUAAAAUA